GACGAACGUUGGCGGCGUGCUUAAUACAUGCAAGUCAACUGAAGCAGUGGUAGCAAUAUCGCUGUGGAGGUGGCGCACGGGUGCGUAACACGUAGGUAAUCUGCCUUCAGGUCUGGCAUAACUCCGGGAAACCGGGGCUAAUAGCAGAUGAUGCAGCGGCUCGACAUCGAGACAGUUGUUAAAGCUAUGGCGCCUGAAGAUGAGCCUGCGUCUGAUUAGCUAGUUGGCGGGGUAACGGCCCACCAAGGCAACGAUCAGUAGCUGGUCUGAGAGGAUGAUCAGCCACACUGGAACUGAGACACGGUCCAGACUCCUACGGGAGGCAGCAGUAAGGAAUAUUGCUCAAUGGGAGAAAUCCUGAAGCAGCAACGCCGCGUGAGGGACGAAGGGCUUUUGCUUGUAAACCUCUGUAGUGAGAGAAAAAAAUCCCAAUCUUUGGGACAUGAUGGUAUCUCAAAAGUAAGCCCCGGCUAACUACGUG
rnacentral:rRNA from 1 species